AAUGCAACUAGUUCCCAAGAUAAGGGCAAAGGGAAGCUGUACAUGAUGACGGCUAGUGAAGAAGAGGCUCGUAGAGACGUUGUCACGGGUCCCAAUUUCAUAAGCGGCUCGUUCUAUUAAGUCAGCGAAAAUUCUCCGUUACAAGACUAGGUGAGCUGGUGCUGCUGCAUGACAUCAAGCAUAUGGGGGCUAGACUGUAGUUUGAAGUUAACUUUUGGUUUGAUCAUUAAUGAAUUUUAUAGAACAUUGUUACAUGGUUUGAGUUUGAAUAAAGAGGGGUCAUCUAUGAUUCCCGAGUUGUAAUUACAUUUUCUAUUCCGCUGCAAUUUGGUUUUGAGACAAUGAAUUUGAGUUACCGUAUUUCUAAUUA